rnacentral:rRNA from 1 species
UGCCAUCCGCCGCGGUAAUACUGAAGGUGCGAGCGUUAAUCGGAAUCACUGGGCGUAAAGCGUGCGUAGGCGGUUUAGUAAGUCGAUUGUGAAAUCCCCGGGCUCAACCCGGGAACUGCAAUCGAUACUGCUUUGCUAGAGUUUAGUUGGGGAUAGUGGAAUUCCUAGUGUAAGGGUGAAAUCCGUAGAUAUUAGGAGGAAUACCGGUGGCGAAAGCGACUAUCUAAGCUAAUACUGACGCUGAGGUACGAAAGCGUGGGGAGCAAACAGGAUUAGAUA